rnacentral:tRNA from 1 species
UCCCUAGUGGCUCAGAUGGUAAAGCGUCUGCCUGCAACGCAGAAGACAUGGAAGACUAGGGUUCAAUCCCUGGUUCGGAA